rnacentral:snoRNA from 1 species
AGGGAAGUGAUGACAUCUGUGACUGCUGACAUGACACUGAUCUCUGUCGUAUUCGUACUGGCUGAUCCCA